rnacentral:tRNA from 1 species
GCGGCCGUUGGAGAAUUGGUACUCCACCAGGCUUCCAUCCUGGCGCUUCGGCAUUGCGGGUUCGAGUCCCGUCGGCCGCU